GGGGGUGCACCGGUCUCGACCCGUGCGGUCAGGAUCGCGAGUCGCAGGUGGAGCCGCCUACCUCCUGAUUGGGCAACCUUUUACUUGCCAACAACAAUGGCAACCUCGCUCUCGCCGCGUAAGCGCCGAUAGCGACGGGGUCGCGGAUGCGCCGCUCUGAGCGUCCGUAGUACCCUGCAACCCAACCAGGGCUUGCCCGAGAUCCUGUCCGGAGGAUCGAGGGGACACCACCCGGAAUACGGGAGGGAGAGCGCGUCGGUUCGCCAUCCCCUCCCCGACAACCCGAAUGGCCGAAUAAACCUGUAGACGCUUCCGGUUCGCGUCCGGGGACGGGGGUUCGACUCCCCCCACCUCCAAAA
rnacentral:tmRNA from 1 species